rnacentral:rRNA from 1 species
CUCGCUGUGAAGAUGCAGUGUACCCGCGGCAAGACGGAAAGACCCCGUGAACCUUUACUAUAGCUUGACACUGAACAUUGAGCCUUGAUGUGUAGGAUAGGUGGGAGGCUUUGAAGUGUGGACGCCAGUCUGCAUGGAGCCGGCCUUGAAAUACCACCCUUUAAUGUUUGAUGUUCUAACGUGGACCCGUGAUCCGGGUUGCGGACAGUGUCUGGUGGGUAGUUUGACUGGGGCGGUCUCCUCCUAAAGAGUAACGGAGGAGCACGAAGGUUGGCUAAUCCUGGUCGGACAUCAGGAGGUUAGUGCAAUGGCAUAAGCCAGCUUGACUGCGAGCGUGACGGCGCGAGCAGGUGCGAAAGCAGGUCAUAGUGAUCCGGUGGUUCUGAAUGGAAGGGCCAUCGCUCAACGGAUAAAAGGUACUCCGGGGAUAACAGGCUGAUACCGCCCAAGAGUUCAUAUCGACGGCGGUGUUUGGCACCUCGAUGUCGGCUCAUCACAUCCUGGGGCUGAAGUAGGUCCCAAGGGUAUGGCUGUUCGCCAUUUAAAGUGGUACGCGAGCUGGGUUUAGAACGUCGUGAGACAGUUCGGUCCCUAUCUGCCGUGGGCGCUGGAGAACUGAGGGGGGCUGCUCCUAGUACGAGAGGACCGGAGUGGACGCAUCACUGGUGUUCGGGUUGUCAUGCCAAUGGCACUGCCCGGUAGCUAAAUGCGGAAGAGAUAAGUGCUGAAAGCAUCUAAGCACGAAACUUGCCCCGAGAUGAGUUCUCCCUGACCCUUUAAGGGUCCUGAAGGAACGUUGAAGACGACGACGUUGAUAGGCCGGGUGUGUAAGCGCAGCGAUGCGUUGAGCUAACCGGUACUAAUGAACCGUGAGG